UGUCGAUUUGAUGCUUAUUUUACUGGCAUGAAGAAUGCAAGCUUAUAGGCACAGGAAGGUUUCCACUCAGAUUUUAAAGGAAGACCUGGGGAGCAGGAAAGGGGCUCCUGUGAAGGCAAAGGUGCAGUAGAGAUCCAGGAGACACCAGUAACUUAGACUAUCGUUCAUGGAUAGCUGUAGACUGUGAGUGAAACCAGCCUGAUAGAAAGGCCCUGUGGGCUUCAACUAUCAAAGUCAUGAGGAUAGGGCCAUCCAAAUCUGUAAUGCAAUUUUAUCACCAUAUAUCCUGGAUAUCAAAUAUGGAGCCACAGGUUUAAUUGUUGCUCUGCUAGUCUUUGGUCUUGCAUUGAGCAUUUUAAAAAUCUAUGUCCUUAUUACAGUAAAAUCUCAACUCACAAACACUUGAGUUGUGGAUUUUAACAGGUGUAUUGUUAAGAUUUACUGUCAGAUUAUGAACAAGUCUGACAGGUGUAUUGUGUAAGAUUUACUUUGUCAGAUUAUGAACAAAUUUGAUGUAGUUAAGAACAUCCUCCCCUGACAGAGCUCACAAGUCAGGGAUUUACUGUACUGUCUUUUGGAAUGAGAAAGUUUACCCUGUACCAUUCUACCUUGGAAUUAUGCAAGUUGCAUUUGAUUUUUGCAGAGGAUCCACACCUAAGAGUUUGCCCUUAGUCUCAGAAAAGUCUUUCACUUGAACUUUUGAAAAAAGUGUAACAGAUUGAGUAUUUGGGGAAGUGAUUAUUGAAUUUCUAGGUUAUUCAGAAUAGUUAUAUUAGUCAUAAAUGUUAUUUGGUAUUUUCUUCAUUUGGCAAUUAAGUAUGGUUUAAGGUGAUGUGCCUGGGUAUAAAGUUUACAUGGGUUGUACUAUGACUACUGCUCCUGAUAUGUAACACUUCACUGGAUUUAGAAAUGCUAAGGAGAUUAGUGCAGCAUACUCCUGGGUAUGUAUGUAUGGGUCAUGGAGAUAUAAUCCUGGGUGCUGUAUGAUCCCUGGCUUUUUAUCUCUAGUGUUCUCUUUGCUCUGCUCUCUGACCGUUAUGAAUUAAGCCACUUUGCUCUGCUGUGCCAUCCCAUAAUCAUGUUCUCUUUCGGCACCAACUGAAUGUGAACAGAAUUCUCCCAGCCUAUGAGCUAAAUUAAACAUAAAUUAAAUUAAACAUUUCCUUCUUUAAAAUUGCAGGUGUCAAAUAUCAUGUCCUAGCAACAGAAGAGCCAGUGUGAUACGCCAGUUAUGUUCACACAUUCUGACUGGUCGGCAUGGUGGUUGCUGAAGUUGGCAGUGGUGGUGGAAAUUUCUUAAAAUUAAGCAAUGUGAAGCUGUUGGGUGCAGGCGCUCAACAUACCAUACCCCACCCGGGACUAAGGACCACGCCAGCUUCCGCAAUGCGCUACGUCUCUCUUUAAAUUAGCCAACCCGUGCGCACUUCGUGCUCACUCCGUACUCUGUGGCAACUCCUGAUUGGCCACAGCUGGCUAUAGUAGCCAGAGCCUGCAUCCCAUUCCCACCCUGCUUCCUCGUGGCAGCCUGUGAUUGGUCACGGCCAAAUAUAUAAACCAGAGCCCGCGUAAAUAAACCAGCAGUUAACUGUCGUCCACAAGAGCGUCUCCUGUUUCACUGGGGCUGCGCCGGUCAACUGGUGGCCCGUAUGGGGAGCGCUGAGACCCUCUCUCCGACAGUACGGGGAACGCUGAGACCCUCUCUCCGACAGUACAGGGAACGAGACUCUCUCUCCGACGGAACAGAGACGUUAACAGCUGUUGUUAUGCAGGUACUCCAGUUCGUACCGAUGCCAGUUAUGGCGGACUCAGACGAGUUUCCUGUGAUCCAGCUCGGGCCAACUCUCCAAUUGGCUUUCAUAAAGGAAUGGGCAGGAACAGGGGCUCUGGCUACCAUGACUACACUUGCCGCAUUCCGCAGUCUACUUCUGCUCUGUCAGAUUCGCAGACAAAGGAAUAGGGACAAAGUAUCAAACAAGCAUUGCUGAUCAUGGAAUCUGGUCAAAGCCCGGCAGCAUGGCUCGCCAUGCUGUGACGCAGGUGUGGAGCAAAGCAUCGCAGGGGGUGUCGUCCUUGGCCAGGAGACACCCCGGUCCCCAUGUUGGUGAGCAUGUGGGUUGGGCUCAUAAAACAAUACUCCCGCCCCCUCCAAAAGAGCACCAACGAGUAGUGAGGCACUGUCAUGACUGCAGCGUGACACCUCACGAGGGGCGCCGACCUCUGGAGACCCUGCGUCAGUUAUAAAGAAAGGGGGAGAUGUUGGGCGCAGGCGCUCAACAUACCAUACCCCACCCAGGACUAAGGACCACGCCAGCUUCCGCAAUGCGCUACGUCCCUCUUUAAAUUAGCCAACCCGUGCGCACUUCGUGCUCACUCCGUACUCUGUGGCAACUCCUGAUUGGCCACAGCUGGAUAUGGUAGCCAGAGCCUGCAUCCCAUUCCCGCCCUGCUUCCUCGUGGCAGCCUGUGAUUGGUCACGGCCAAAUAUAUAAACCAGAGCCCGCGUGAAUAAACCAGCAGUUAACUGUCGUCCACAA